GUCUAUGGCCAUACCACCCUGAACGUGCUCAAUCUCAUCUGGUCUUGGAAGCUAAGCAGGGCCAGGCCUGGUUAGUACUUGGAUGGAAGACAGAUCUUCAGAAGAGACUGCUCAGAGACAAGCAGUUUGGAGACA
rnacentral:rRNA from 1 species